GGGAUGAACCGGAAGCCGGGUUACGGUGCCCAACUGCGCGCUAACCUAGAACCCACAAAGGGUGUUGGUCGAUUAAGACAGCAGGACGGUGGUCAUGGAAGUCGAAAUCCGCUAAGGAGUGUGUAACAACUCACCUGCCGAAUCACAUAGCCCCGAAAAUGGAUGGCGCUGAAGCGCGCGACCCACACCCGGCCAUCUGGGCGAGCGCCAUGCCCCGAUGAGUAGGAGGGCGCGGC
rnacentral:ncRNA from 1 species